GCGCUUGCUUCGGCAGCACAUACACUAAAACUGGAACGAUACAGAGAAGAUUAGCAUGGCCCCUGCGCAAGGAUGACAUUCAAAUUCGUGAAGCAUUCCAUAUUUUU
rnacentral:snRNA from 1 species